rnacentral:rRNA from 1 species
AUUGAACGCUGGCGGCAGGCCUAACACAUGCAAGUCGAGCGGAUGAAGGGAGCUUGCUCCUGGAUUCAGCGGCGGACGGGUGAGUAAUGCCUAGGAAUCUGCCUGGUAGUGGGGGAUAACGUCCGGAAACGGGCGCUAAUACCGCAUACGUCCUGAGGGAGAAAGUGGGGGAUCUUCGGACCUCACGCUAUCAGAUGAGCCUAGGUCGGAUUAGCUAGUUGGUGGGGUAAAGGCCUACCAAGGCGACGAUCCGUAACUGGUCUGAGAGGAUGAUCAGUCAGCCUGGAACUGAGCCAGGCCCGAGCCCCCGCGGGGGGGAGGCAGGGGGUAUUAUGGGACAGAGGGGGAAGGCUGAACCCAGCCGGGCGGGGGGUGGAAAGAGGUUGUUGGAUUUGUAAACCAUUUUAGGGGGGGGGAAAGGGAAGUAAUUUAUUCCCUUGCUGUUUUGAGUUCCCCAAAAAAAAAACCCCCGCCUCCUUCCGUC